UAUGUGAUCGUCUCUCGCAUAUCAAUAAGCGGAGGAAAAGGAACUAACAAGGAUUCCCCUAGUAACGGCGAGUGAAGCGGGAAGAGCUCAAAUUUGAAAUCUUAAAGGGUUUCCCUUUACGAAUUGUAGUUUAAAGAAGUGUUUUCUGUUGAGGUUUUGGUAAAAGUUCUUUGGAAUAGGACAUCAUAGAGGGUGAGAAUCCCGUAUUUGACCUUUACUUUCAACUUUGUGAUACACUUUCAAAGAGUCGGAUUGUUUGGGAAUGCAGUCCAAAAUGGGUGGUAAAUUUCAUCUAAAGCUAAAUAUUGGCGAGAGGACCGAUAGCGAACAAGUACCGUGAGGGAAAGAUGAAAAGAACUUUGAAAAGAGAGUUAAACAGUACGUGAAAUUGUCAAAAGGGAAGCGUUUGACACCAGUGUUGUUUUCCUGAAAAUCAAUUAAAGAACUGUUUAUGCUAAGUUGUUUAGACUUUAUCAGCUAACUGUUUAGUUUUGAGCUUUUCUUUAAUGCACUUUUCAGUUAACAAGUCAACAUCAAUCUCUUUUGCUGUAAAAAAGCUUGAGGAAGGGUGGCUUGAGAUUCGUCUUAAGUGUUUAUAGCCUCUUGCCUAUGCAGUCGGAGAGAUUGAGGUCUGCAGCGUAGAUCCUUCGGGGCUAAAUGCAUUUGUGCUAAGUUAUAGCAUUUUAUAGACAACUUGUUGACUAUGAUUUGUCUUGUAGCUUACUCGCUUAUGUUAUUUUACCUACGCUUAGGAUGUUGAGUAGCGACAUACGCAC
rnacentral:rRNA from 1 species